CGUGUAGGCGGAAUAUCAGGUGUCGUGUGAAAGCCCCGGGCUCAACCCGGGAACUGCGCGGCAAACCGGUAUUCUUGAGGCAGGUAGAGGUGACCGGAACGACUGGUGGAGCGGUGAAAUGCGUAGAUAUCAGUUGGAACGCCGGCGGCGAAAGCGGGUCACUGGACCUGUCCUGACGCUGAGACGCGAAAGCGUGGGUAGCGAACA
rnacentral:rRNA from 1 species